CACGGAGGUCUUCGCCAUGAACAGGUUUCUCCUUAUCGCCGUUUCUGGAUCGGUUCUUGCUAUCUCCUUGGCAUUGAGUAUGACUGAUUAUGGAGUAGAAGAGAACACAGCAGUCUGGAAAGAAACGUUAAGUGACUUUGAUCAGAAUACUGAAGAUGGUUACUUCGAUAAAAACCGACCAGAAGGUUACACUGAUCAUGAAGAUGAGGAGAGAUUAUCAGACCCUGAAUGGCGCAAAAAUAGGCGACGUUCGUACAGAAGGCGGGUAAAGCAGACCAAGGCGAGGCGCACGAGAUUCCGUCCUUGUGGGCUGCGACGCCGGCGGAGAUGUGGAUAACGUUUUUCAUAAGUGGAGAUUUAUCAGCACAGUCCAAACUCGAUGACCAAUAGACACCUUCAAUCAAGAAAAUACAUCUCUGCAGAAUACAUUGCUGUCAUAAAGUAAAACUUUUAGAGAUCAGCUUAUAUAGAUAUGUCAUAGAAUAAAAAUUACAGUGAUGUCUCUUACUCAAAUGUGAA